rnacentral:rRNA from 1 species
UACGAAGGGGCUAGCGUUGCUCGGAAUCACUGGCGUAAAGCGCACGUAGGCGGAUUGUUAAGUCAGGGGUGAAAUCCUGGAGCUCAACUCCAGAACUGCCUUUGAUACUGGCGAUCUUGAGUCCGGGAGAGGUGAGUGGAACUGCGAGUGUAGAGGUGAAAUUCGUAGAUAUUCGCAAGAACACCAGUGGCGAAGGCGGCUCACUGGCCCGGUACUGACGCUGAGGUGCGAAAGCGUGGGGAGCAAACAGGG